rnacentral:rRNA from 1 species
AUUGAACGCUGGCGGCAUGCUUUACACAUGCAAGUCGAACGGCAGCGCGGGCUUCGGCCUGGCGGCGAGUGGCGAACGGGUGAGUAAUACAUCGGAACGUGCCCAGUAGUGGGGGAUAGCUCGGCGAAAGCCGGAUUAAUACCGCAUACGACCUGAGGGUGAAAGCGGGGGAUCUUCGGACCUCGCGCUAUUGGAGCGGCCGAUGGCAGAUUAGCUAGUUGGUGGGGUAAAGGCCUACCAAGGCGACGAUCUGUAGCUGGUCUGAGAGGACGACCAGCCACACUGGGACUGAGACACGGCCCAGACUCCUACGGGAGGCAGCAGUGGGGAAUUUUGGACAAUGGGCGAAAGACUGAUCCAGCAAUGCCGCGUGUGUGAUGAAGGCAUUCGGGUUGUAAAGCACUUUUGGCGGGAACGAAAAGGACUGUGCCAAUACCACGGUUCGAUGACGGUACCCGCAGAAUAAGCACCGGCUAACUACGUG